rnacentral:lncRNA from 1 species
CCAAAUGGAAUUGAAACUCUGGUUAAAAUCCUGUAAACCUUAUUCCUGGUCCUUGACUAUUUUCCAGAUAGAGCAAGCCACCCUCCGGAUGAGACCAUGAAGGGUGCGGUGUAGACAGAUUUGCCACAGAAAUACUCACGUUCCCCUGACAGCAUCCUGAUGCCAUCCGGACACUCUUUGAUCCCUUGAAUGUUUAACGUGCACCUACCUACGUGUGUUCACAUGUACACACCACGGUGGUAAAUGCUGGGAUUACAAAGACAAAUUGGGAAAGGUUCUGGUCUUGAAAGAAAGACAGAAGAGGAAGCAUUUUACACACUCAUGGAGCUGGGACCACAAGGCGCCCUCUCUGCUCUGUGGGCAGGAAGUGCAAGAGACAGGGGGACCUUGUGAAGACGGUGACUUCCAACACUCUAAUCCUGCCUCCUAAAGGGACUUGGGAUAACGGUUUUCAAACCCUUCCCACCUUACCAGUCAGCUGGUGGGGAGGAGAGAGCCAGGGAUAGAGAGGGAAGCCGGACAUUUUUCUGCGGUGGAAUUCAUCUCGUGGAAACAUGAGGAUCAGAGAAUAGAAAUCCCUCUACCAAUGAGGAUCUGAGUGGAUCUUACAUCAGGCAAGAGUCAAACUCCCUACAAGGCUUCCUGUCUCGUCUCUCUCCCCCUCUUCCUCUCUCAGCAAUUUGUUCUCUGCUCUCAUCCACAGCACAGUUUCCGCACACGGUGGGGGACGAUGGCCGCCAGAAGUUCUUGUGCAGCAUCGUUCCAACCCAGUAACCUCUCCUCAAAGGAGAAACAGGGGUCGUGAUCGGAAAAUCAAAGGAGGACAGUGGGAAGAGGAGAAAAUGCUGGCUUCUGCUUGGCUGUUUGGAAGCCAGGUGAGAAGAAUCGGAAAGGCACAUUCGCUGAAGGAACUGAGCAUCUAGCUGAGAAGCUAGUAUCCUAACACGUUCAUGCCACCCAACAGAUAAGGCCGGGCUGCAGCCCAGGGGACAUACCAGGCUGGGUCUGCUUCCCCUGGCGGUCCAAGGCCACAGAGACCUGCAUGGGCUGGGGAGCCAGGCACCACAGCAUAUCCUUGUUGGAUGCUAAUUGUAUAUUGUUAAUUGCUUUUCAAAUGCCGUGACCGGAUUUGUUCACACUUCACGAUGAACAGAAGUGCGAGUUUAGAAACCAAUUAGAAGGAUAAAAAUGAUACUGAGAAUAAAAUCCACUUCGUUCGUAUUUUUAGAGUUCCU